rnacentral:rRNA from 1 species
UGGGGAAUAUUGCACAAUGGGCGCAAGCCUGAUGCAGCCAUGCCGCGUGUAUGAAGAAGGCCUUCGGGUUGUAAAGUACUUUCAGCGAGGAGGAAGGCGUUGUGGUUAAUAACCGCAGCGAUUGACGUUACUCGCAGAAGAAGCACCGGCUAACUCCGUGCCAGCAGCCGCGGUAAUACGGAGGGUGCAAGCGUUAAUCGGAAUUACUGGGCGUAAAGCGCACGCAGGCGGUCUGUCAAGUCGGAUGUGAAAUCCCCGGGCUCAACCUGGGAACUGCAUCCGAAACUGGCAGGCUAGAGUCUUGUAGAGGGGGGUAGAAUUCCAGGUGUAGCGGUGAAAUGCGUAGAGAUCUGGAGGAAUACCGGUGGCGAAGGCGGCCCCUUGGACAAAGACUGACGCUCAGGUGCGAAAGCGUGGGGAGCAAACA